UGUGAGCCACUGCACCCAGCCUAUUUUAAAAAUAUUCUCAAGGCGUUCCAUUGUGUGGCUAUACUGUUUUAUUUAACUAAUUCCUGAUUGAUGCGCAGUUAGCUUGUUUCUAGUCUGCCACUGUAACAAUGCUGCUGCCGGAAUCUUUCCACUUGUCUAGGCAUCCGGCAACCGCAGGAGAAGGGGGUCGUGCCUUUGAAUUCUGACAGAUAAGGCUGCAUCACCCUCCCCAGAGGUCAGACCAACUUACCACGUCCCUACAGUGUGUGAAGCGCUGUCUCCUGCCUGCCCUCCCCAGGGAGGGUUUUGACAUGGCUGACAUCUGAGAGACGCUGGGCAGAGAGAUGACGGCAGCAUGAUGUGCACCUAGUAUGUGCUUGGUGCUUCACAAACAUCAUCUAUAAUCCUCACCUGGCAGGUGGAGCAGCAGACUCAGAGAGGUGAAGGGACUGACCCUAAAACUUACAAGGAGACACAGCAGAGUUUCAGCCACUGGGCUUGCCCCAUGCUGUAUAGACACGGCUGGAUCUUGUUAACCACAGAGGAGCAAGUGGGGGCUCGGAGAAGUGAAGCCACUCACCCUGGAUCACAGGCUCUGGAAGCGAGGAAUCCUGGAGUCAAGCUCAGGACCAUCCAAAGCCCGGCUUGUGCUGCUGCUACCGCUUCACGUCACCCUAUGGUGUCCAUCGUCCAUUCCAUCGGGGGCCGUGUUUGCUUUGAAGAUGGAAGGAGAUGACGCAAGGAACUGAGCCCAGUGACUGUCGGAUGGAGCGCCCUCUAAUGAUUUGCUGUCAUCACCUUGAAAUUCUCAACAAUUUUUUAACAAAG